rnacentral:rRNA from 1 species
UACAGAGGUCCCGAGCGUUGUUCGGAUUCAUUGGGCGUAAAGGGUGCGUAGGCGGCGGGGCAAGUCUGAUGUGAAAUCCCGGGGCUCAAUCCCGGAACUGCAUUGGAUACUGCCUUGCUUGAGUACUGGAGAGGGAACUGGAAUUUACGGUGUAGCAGUGAAAUGCGUAGAGAUCGUAAGGAAGGCCAGUGGCGAAGGCGAGUUCCUGGACAGUUACUGACGCUGAGGCACGAAGGCCAGGGGAGCAAACGGG